UACAGAGGUCCCAAGCGUUGUUCGGAUUCAUUGGGCGUAAAGGGUGCGUAGGCGGCGCGGUAAGUCGGGUGUGAAAUCUCGGAGCUUAACUCCGAAACUGCACUCGAUACUGCUUUGCUUGAGGACUGGAGAGGAGAUUGGAAUUCACGGUGUAGCAGUGAAAUGCGUAGAUAUCGUGAGGAAGACCAGUGGCGAAGGCGGGUCUCUGGACAGUUCCUGACGCUGAGGCACGAAGGCCAGGGGAGCAAACGGG
rnacentral:rRNA from 1 species